UCAUACUGUGUAUUAUAUUUAUCAUAUUUUAAUAUCGAUGGUUCAUACAUGCAAUGACCAUUGUUCUUAUUACUACAAAUUUUAUUAUUAUUCAAAUUGCAAUCAAUCUCCAUUUUCUAGGAUAUUAUAUUUAUAUAUUUAUUGCAUACACAUAGUGUAUACAAUAUCAUAAAAUUGCAGCAUAAUUACAGUUUUUGUAAUCAGUUUAUAAAUCAAAAGAGAAAAUUAGAAUUCACACUUUCAUUUAUUUAUAUAAAGCUAAAAAACGGAAAGAGCUAGCUAUUUAGAGGCAACGUUAUAUAAUUAUAAUUCAAUGUAUCAGGAAACUAUUUAUUUGACAAAAUCAAGCAGCGCGGUAAAAAUGAUUUUAUCGAACUAGUUGCUAGCAUUAACCCAUGCACGACGCGCGAUACUUAUCCCCACCAUGUAUGCUUCACUGCCAGUGCUUCGUACACGUGUUCGAAGUUUCUUCAAUAGCCUGUAUCCCUAAAAUCUUUUAGCUUUCGAAAGUUAUUUUACGAUUUUAUCUUUUUUUUAAAUAUUUUAGAAUAGUAUUUUAUUUAGUUAUUCAAUAUAUAAUAAUAGUAUAUAUAUAUAUAUAUAUAUAUAUAGAAAAUUUAAAAGAUUAACAUAGAUUAAUUAUAUUCUAAAAAAUAUCUAAUUCAAUGUAAGAUGUGGAGAAUUUAAUCUAAAAAUCAAGUUAGUUUAAAUUCAAACAAUUUUGUGUUCGUGAAAUUACGAUUAUAUGAUUGAUAAUAAAUAAACACAAAUAGGAAGAGGAUUGAUAAUAUCGAUAAAUGAUAAAUAUCAGAAUUGAGUGUUUGAUUAUCUUCUUGUAAUAUCUUGUAUAAAAUUUUAAUUUCACACUUCUAUUAAAGAAAUUUUUAUCUUUUCUUUUUCGAUUAAUAUCUAAAAAGCAGGGAAACGAGAGAAACGAAACAAGGUUGCUGCUUUACGUUGUAUUUGAAAAAUAAUAAUAGAUCGUGGAUUGUCAAUAGUGUAUCCUUGAAUCAUUAGUACCACAGCAUUCAUGGACGACCAGUCGGAAGAUAUGUGCGUGUUGCACUUUUUCUGAAGCAGUAUGGAAUACCUGCAGGUUGACGUAAAAUCGAUCCGAGAUGUGUUUAAAUAACGUUCACGCGUAAUUUAAUAUGGUUCUCUCAUUGAAUAUGGUCGAUUGAAAUUACAAUAUUUAUCGGAAGAAACCUAUUGACAUUUCCACAUACGCAUGACCUACUUUCGUAUUAUUUUAUUUAUCGUUCAUUUAAAUAAACAUGAAAGGAAUUAGAUGGAUAUAUAGAAUUUUCAUUUUAUUUUUCAUCGAUAGAUAUAAUUAUUCAUAUUUGAAUUUAUUCCGCAUAUAAAUAUUAUGAAUAUUAUUAAAAGAAAAAAGAAAGAAUAGAAAUUAUUAGAUAAUCUAUUACGAUUUGUAUUAUGGUAUUAUGGUUUUUUAUUUGUUAUGAUUAUUAUUAUUAUUUAAUCUUUAAAUGAUUCUAUUAAAAAAAGAAUAUGAAUUAUUUAUGAUUAUUAGCGAAUAAUUAUUUCUCUCUGCAAGAAUUCAAUUAUCAUCUCAGGUUUUGUUAUUUAUUUGAUUCCAUCUUACUUUACUUAUAUUUUCUAAUUAGAUUAUUCAUUUGUUUAAUAGGUUACAAAAGUGUUCACACGUUUAUUUAUAUAUAUAAUUAGAGUAUACAUUUAUUCUUUGUUACGAACAAUUCUAGUCAACAUAUGAUGAAUCAGUUGAUCAGGACAAAUAUAUAUGUAAAGCUCGAUCACGUUCGAAAGACAGGAAAGAAGAACCGUUACGCUAAGAGAACACAAUCCUUUUCUUUUUUUCGUAAUCGAUAUAUACAUGUCAAUGUAAUCGCAUAUGGUAUUCAUCGUUUAUUUCCGUAGGAACGCUCGUUUAGUUGGCUAAACAUCGAGUGCCAGAUAUUCUUCUCUCGAGGAACGCUGAUAAAUAAUCGGAGUGAUUUACGCGAUCUAAAAACGAUCUCGCAUGUUCGUGGGAAUCUCGAGAUAUAGAAAAUUAUUUUGUUUAGGUGUAUUUUAUUUGGAUACAAUUGACUAAAAUUGUGGGCAAUCAUUAGAACUGAAAUAGCUGAGACAGGAAAUAAAAAUUUUCUAUUUGUGUCUAAAAAAUAAAAAAAGAAAAAAUUAUCUGCUAAUUUUAUCAUCUUUUAAAAGCAUCUUAGAUUGCUCAUAAGAGUAAUUGUGAAUGAAAGUGAAAAAAAAAAAUAAUGAAUAUCGAGUUCAAUAGCAUUGUCAAUUCCUCCUAGAGUGGCGAGAAAAUAUUUUUUUUCUUUCUUUUCAUUUUACACUGUUAAGUUUUUCAUAUUCGACGGAAGUUUGCCUUUGUCGCGUCGAACGAGUGCAAACUCUCGGAACAAAUUACGAAGUGUUUGCUCAAUCGUAUACGACGUCGGUCGGAAAAGUUGGCGAUUAUCGCGUUAUCUGUCGAUUUACAACCAUGGAUGCUGAUUAUUAUAAAUGUGUUUUUCUUUUUGCUUACCACGACUUAGGUAUUGCAUCGAUUCUGCGGUUUUCCAUGCGAUUCGAGAUUUAAACUCGAGAUUAUACAAAUUGUGUAUAAAAUAUAGAGGAAUCUUUUUAUUAUUCACUUUUAUUACAGCUUACUAUAUAUAUAUAUAUAUUUAAAUUGAUCCAUUUUGCGUACUUUUCAAUUUAAAUUUCACAUACAAGUAUGUAUUUCCACCAAAUAUUUAUAUAUUCCCUAAUUUGCAUUAUUAUGAUUUCACCAACUCUCGUGUAUAUAAACGUCAGAUACAUUAUUAUACUAUAGAUAUAUUAUUAUAGAUGGAAUAUUUUAAAUUAUUUUACUAUUUCCAUAUCAUCUCAUUUAAGCAAAGAUAAAGUUCCUUAAAAAACGAAUAUGUUUGAUAUAAAAUUUGAAUUUUAUGAUUUUUACGAUAAUCGUUUUCGUUUUAUUUUAAAACUCGCGCUUUAUUCUUGCUACAUGCAUGCACUCUCGCGGUCAACAUCUGCGUUACCUAGGGCCCAUCAGUAUCCAUAUUACGUAGUAGUUUCGUCAAUUUUUUAAAUAAAUUUUUUUGUUAACGUUUACACAAAUGUAUUAACAAAUCUCUAAAUAUACCUACCAAACAAUUACAAGGUCAGCAUUUCAAUUUCUAAUUUGUAAUAAAAAAAAAAUUAAUAUAUUUUCACUUUGCGACGCCCGUGACAGGAAAUUAUAGGUUAAGAACGCCAGAUCGAAAUUUCAGACUUCUAAAUAUAAUAAGUAAAUCUUCGUAAAGAUUACGAAUCAGGUAACGUCACUAUUUCAAUUUUCAAUUUAUUAUAAAAAAAAAAAAAGAAGAAGAAAGAUUAAAUUUGUAUCUCACAUCAUCUUUAACACAGAUUUAACCAGAUUAGAGUCAAAGUGAACUUCAAAGUGAACUUCGCGUCACGUUACGAUUUACGAUUGCUCGCACACGAGUUCGAGAAUAUAGAUUCUUAUUCACAGGGAAAAUCCAUGAUUUUCCACGAGACCGAGUUCGAUUCUAUUCGUUACGAUUCUCGAUUACGAAGCAAAGUAUCGUCUUUCGUUCGUGAAACUGAAAUAUGACAGUCGGCACACGUCCAUUUAGGUUCAGGUUCAUUUCUCACGCCGAUUAGACGUCGAUUGUCGUGUUCCACGGAUUCUGUAUAAUCGUGAAUGACGGUAUUUUGACCAGAUCGACUAUCGACUUCGCUCCAAGAAGCGUUACGUACCGGCACAUUUAUCGAACAGACAAGCUACACAUAGUUUCGCUACGUUGCUUACACAACCGAUCCUUCAUACCAGUUUGCGAAGAACCGCGUCUGGAAACGUUGAAAUUCUAAAAUUGGAUCUCCGCGGUUUGGGUAUUCGAAUUCCGGGAUUAAUUCGAUUCGAUUAGCCGAAACUCUUUCGUGGCUGAUCUCAUUCCUCUCGUGGCAUACGUUUGGUUAUUUAUACCAAUUAUGAAAUCCGUAGUCAGGAUGGCUAAUUAUAUUAUUUUAUGUAUUUCGAUGUAGUCUUUUAUAAAUCUAUGAAAUGAUAGUAUCGAUCAUCAAGCUUCUAGAUUUCAAUCAUCGAUUUCUGAAGUAUUGUUCGGCUCGCACGUGUCACAUUGAUCAUCCAUAACUUUAAACCGAAUUUCUUUUGGAAUUAAACUUCAAAAUUUCUCGAAUUCAAAGAGUAAUUUAUUUUUUUAUACGAGUUCUAUUUUAAUUAAUUCUCGAUGAAAUAAAUUGCAGUGAGCCUAUAUCUGUAAAUAAAUACAUUUAUUUUUACUUUUUUCUUUAUUUUAAGGAUUUUUUCGAAGUCUUGAGCCUUCGAAUCUGCUUACGCGUGUGACCCACAUUAUUUAUCGCGGAUGUCGCGAUAAAUGAUAUCGUAAUCGGGGUUAAUACACCAUGAUUACGUUCGAACAUUAUUAUCGGCUAUUGUCGUUCGAUCUGCUAUUUCACACAUUUCUUUGCGCGACCGAUAAGCGGUUUUGUAGUUUUUUUUUUUCAUCGUGACUCGUGGAAACGAGAUGCAUUGAAAAGUGAUCAUUGACAUGUACGCGAGAUAGAAGAAGUGUUAUAAUUUUAUAAGCGAUUAUACAUAAAUCAUAUAAAUUAAAUGUUUAAUUAUGAAUUUAUUUAUAUUAAUUUUCAAUAUUUCCUUAUUACGCUUGGAUCUGUUUAGAUAAAAGUGAAAUUUCUUUUUUAGUAUCUUAAUUACUUUCGAAAAUUAAAAAAAAAAAAACAGUAUAAAAUGGAUCCAAAGAUACUAUUAAGUGUUUAAUAAUAUUGCAAAAUUUUUUUAUUUCGACUCUUUAAGUGAUUAAAACUUUGAUUAUUUAUGAGAACAAUAAUUAAUAUUAAGAACAAGGAUUGAUUAAAAUUUCUCUUCAUUCACAAGGAUAAUUAAAAAUAAAAAUCAUUAAAAAUACGUAGCAACAAUUAAAACCACGUUUGAAAGUAGUACUUAAAUCCUUUCUCACCCGCAAGUAUAAAUCAGAGAAUCAUCAAAAAUGGAUUUAUCACGUUCACUCGUUGCGGUCUUGACUAAUGAACAGCGAUGUAUAUAUACCCGCGUUCGUUUCGCGGUUCGUUUAUCCCGUUCCAGAAAUAUUCGAACGCGGACGUCGACACGUAGAUUCUCUUAAACGCGCCACAUUUCGCUUCGGUUCAAGCGAUUUUUAAUUCUUGGUUGAAAACGCGCCAACGUGGCGACAGUAAACUUACCGAGAUACGAUGCAAAUAAGUCUUAAUUCUCUUUUCACGGAAGGAUAAAUUCGAGGGAGGGUAGCGAAAUAACUGUAAUAACUGCGGUAAAUAAGGCUUCAAGAUGGAUGGAGCCUCGAUGAAAAAAAGUCGAGUCUGUUAUAUAUAGGAAGGAAUCAUCGCGAAAUUUGAAAUCAUCGAGGGGAAAAAAAGGAAAAUUUUUAUUAUCCAAGUCCCAUUGGAAUUCCAUUUAUUUACGAAUUCUUUUUUCGCGAUGGAGAAAUUUUUAGUAACAGAUCUAUAAAUUGAACUUUAAGUUUAAUAACAGUUAAUAAAAUUCGAGGAAAAUUUAAAAUUUCAUUUCUUCGAGGAUAUUUUUAUUUUUAGGUCAGUGAAUUUUUUAUACGCUUGAUCGAAAGAUAUUGAAAUUUGAAAUCACGAGAAAAGAUUCAAAAGAAGAUGGACCCUUUUAUUAAAAUUCAAUCUAAAUUAAGUUUCGUUCGUCUUCAAGAUAUUCUUAUUUUCGUUGAUCCAAAUCAAAUGAUGGAGGGAAUGAUAAAGGAAAUGGACAAAUUCGAUAAAUAUCGUUUUCUAGAAUUUUUUCGAAUUUUCUCGAGAGCAAAAUUUAGGAAGAAAAUGUUUGACUAGAUAUAUUAAUAUCAAAUUUCAAUAAUUUUAUAACGAAAUUGGAUUCCGUCCGAGGAAUCGAAAACGAACCUUUUAAUUUUCACGCGACGAAAUAAACGUAAUCGCAUCGCUUCCUUUUAUCUCGCGCGCGCAUUACAUAUUCGCCAGAUAACGAAAUUACGCUUUAAAUAGGACGGAAUGGUCUUUAAAUCUACGAUUGUGCUACAACGUGCCGCCGCAUAAAUAUCAAUUGAACAAUGUUUUUUAUAGAAAAAUCUGUCAGAUCCCGAUGAUCGUUGCACAUCGUUUAUGCAACCCGUUUUUUCCGCUAAUUUUCAUUCAUUGUUGAAGCAUUUUGAACCGUGUUCAAUUUAAUACAAAAUCAAUAUCCGACUAUAUGGAGUUCAGUCGAACUUCCAUUUAUUCGAACUAUCAGUCAGAUUAAUUAUUGUAUUGUUAACAAUAUAAAGUAUAAUUAUCAUAUGUUUGCAAUAUUACGUAAAGGAUAUUUAGAUAAUUCUAAGAAUGUUUCAAGCUGAUCCUCUUAAAUUCUUUGAUUUAUAAUUUUACAUUGCAAUUUAGAACAAUACAAUAGGCUGUGUAUGUAAAAAUCAGUCAUAUAUACAUGUAUAUAUAUUCGAAAUUGUCGAUAAUUUCGAAGAGUAAAAUUCGUUUAACGAGUAAUUUUCUAAAUUGCAAUGUAAAAUUUCUCGUUAGAAACUCAACACAACUCGCGAAGACAUCAUAAUUCAAAGAGGAUUAAAAUCAUACCAAAACAUUUACUUUCCUCCGGAGCAUGGAUUGUGUCAGAGAAACUGAAGCAUCGUGGUUAUCAAUUCUUGGAGAUAUAUUUUUUCUUGAACCAGACAUCGUAAUUUUUUUCUUUCAUUCCUUUUUUUUUUUUUUUUUUUUUUUUCUAAGUGAAUAUCUCUAAAUUUAUUCGAUCCCCUGUAUAUUUUCACGAAAACUAUCAGGAAUCACCACACGCUGCGAUAUAAACGAUUUUCACGAUUAUAUAUGAAACUAACGUGUACCAUAUUACUCGUUUGAAGUGAAAAAUAAGUUCAAGGUCUAUUAGGUUCCAUAUGAAACGAGAGCUUUAUUCGAAUUCGCGAACAGGAAGAAGCAAUUACGGAAUUGUUUUUUUUUUUUUUUUCUCGUGAAAAUAAUCAAGGAAAAUGACUACUAUUUGGAGAGAAGAGACCAGAGUUUCUUUUGGGGAUAGUUGGAACGAGUUUCUUGUCUCUCGCGUAGACAAUAGACGUUGGAACAUGAGACAUAAUUACGUGUCGACUUUAAAUCAUUUUUAAUUUCACGUUUCUUUAAUCGGUAAUUAUUCCCUCGAAAUUUUUAGAAAAAUAUUCCGAGAUAAUUGUAAUGGUGUAAAAAAUUCUCUUAUUUUAUAUUUCAUCAGUUAAAGAAGAUGGAUAAUGUUGAAACGUUUUAUUUAAUUUAAUUUAAGAAAGAGUGUGGGAUAAAAAAAAUUAUUUCAAUGAUCUCUUUUAUUGCAUUGCGGAAUAACGAUAGAAGGAGAUGAUUAUUUAAAAAGAAUCGAGAGACUGAAACUCUAAAAAUCUUUCGGAGUUUUAUUCUAGAGUUUAUUGACGUCAUCAUCGUCAGACGUUCUAUUUGAAACAAUAACAGGUUUCUUUUAAAUAAAGACGAUCUCGUGGAAGUAUGUAAAAUUCGUGUUACGAUAGUGAUUCAUCCUCGUUGAAUUUUCUCCUAUCAUUCACCAGAGAAAUCUCCUAGUCAUUGCCUAGUCCAUUGACUUUAAAUCGCUGUUAAUCGGAAUUGAUUCUUCGUUGAAUUAUGUUUCUCGAAGAGAGCGAAAAAUCAUAAGCAUUGUGUUUAAAGAGGAACGAUAAACAGGACGGAACGAGGGAAGGAAGGUCGUGAAAAGGUUGCAAAGGUUGUAAAAAAAGAAUAAAAAUAAAAAAUCGUAAAGAACUGUGGAAAAAUUAUAAAAAGCUGCAAAUAUAAACAACUAUAAAUCCGAGGGAAGAUAAAAGAUACUUUGCUUAAACUAAUAAAAAAUAGCUUGCUUUUUCGUAGACAACUUUUUGCGAAAAAUUAAGUAUUUAAGAGAUUUUGUACUUGCGACACGAUUCUUUCAGGGGAAAGAAAAUUAUACAAAAAUUAAUCGAACUCUAUUUUACCGCUGCGAAUUUUAAACGAUCCUCGGAUUAUACUCGAACCGAAGAGAAUUAAAAAAUUUGCAACUUUUGGAAGAAAUGAUACAAAAAAAUUAUUAAUCGAUCAUUGCUCUUAAAUGGAAAUUAAGGCGAUCAAUCUCAAUUUUCCUUUCUAAAAUUUCAGCCACGAAUUAUACUCGAUAAUUACCAUAUUAAGCAUUUUGAUACUUCAAUUACGAAAUUGUCUCAAUCAGCGAUCUAUAGUCACGAGACCCGCGUGUAAUUUCAUCUUUCGAGUUUAUUACUCUUCGAAGUGUAUAUUUAUAGAGUUGAACGUUGCGUAUACUUGGAUUUUUUUUUCACGAGAUUGCGAUUCCAAUCUGUCUAACAUUUUUUUUUUUCUUUAAUCAUGAAUCGCGCAUCAUUGUAAAUUAGCACCCGAGUUCGAUCCGAGAUUUCGAGGAAGAAUUAAUAUUUCUUGUUUUCUUUUAUUUUUAUCUCCUUUUAAUUUGCAAUUUCGAAUAUAAAAUUGGACGAUGGAUGGAAUAUCGAUUUCUUUUUAACGAGAAUUAAUCCAAUUUAAAUUCGAAGUCGAUUCUUGGGAUUGUCAGUUUGUAGAAUAUUGGAAAUCGUGGUAAAUUAAAUAUUGAAAUUAAGGGCGAUUGUGGCGAAGGGAAAUUGUUCGGGUUUUCACGAAAGAUCAUUCCGAGGAGUAAUAAAGGAGGAAAGAUAUUUUUUUUAAUUUUCGAUUCAUUCGUUCAUUUCCCUGACAGAAAUUACGUCGUGGAAUAAUUUCAAAAAUAAUUUAAAUAUCGUGGAAACGUUUUAAUCUAAUCUAAUCUAAAUGUAGCGAGUCCAAUUUUCCUUAGAAUUUGUUUAGAAAAAUUGCGAGAUAUUUUUUUCUUUUUUCGUGGAUAAAUAAAUAAAUUGAAAUCGCGAUUGAUAUAAUAGAGGGCAAAAGUUUCACAAUGAGAUGGAUAACAGGUGAGAAACGCACUGUGAAUAUUACGUACGUAAAUGUUAUCGCGAAUAUUCAUCGUUAUUGCCGUGCCAUAUGUAAAUUAUCUCGUGUCUAGAUCAGUCGCUGUGAACACAAUAUCGUGUCUUUUAUCCCUGUUACGAUUUUCAAAUGUUCCAUUUAUUUUCCCUUUUCUUUUCCUUUUUCUUUCCUUCUUUUUAAUCAAUCCAUUUUUAUCUUUCUCUUUUCCUUCAUUAAUUCCACAUUAACUCGGGGCCAAUAUCGAUGAUGGGAAAAUUAAAUCGUAAAUUUUGAUCGAACAAACGAUUCACGAAAGAAGGAGAUAUUAGUGACGAUUUUUGUAAUGAAAAGAUAUCGAAGGAGAAGAGUUAGAAUGGAAUUAUUCAAAGUUAAAAAUCAAAGAUGUUUUGUUCUCUGUACAAAGCUAGAUUUUUAUAUUUAAAUCGAGAUAAAAUCUCUCGUUUCCGUAUGGUUGCGAAUAAACGAUGAUAUUAUUUAGCUGUUGCGCAUAGGCUAAAUGCCAGGGUUACACGGUCACGAAAUGCGAUUCAUGCUAAAACAUUUUACAAUAAACUGUCUACAAAUUAGAAGGAUAAUAGUUGGGAAGACGUAAAACAACUGGUGAAUUUCGUACAAAAAGCUAUAUCCGAUGUUAACAUUGAAAACAGAUUGGAACACGGCGAUAAAACUCGCGGAAAUAUCUUUUCGGGUGCAAAAUAAAUCAUAAAAUAUUCUACAUUCUUCUUGUUAACACGAUUUAAAUAUACGUUUCUGGCCCAUUUGAAACUUCAUGGAUUCGAAAAGAGGCGUGUAAAUAGUAAAUAAUUAUGCUUCCGGAACUCGAUUUAAAUCCUUUGUAUACGUUCUGAUCCGUUUUUCACGUCUUGAAAAAGAACGACGAAGAACAUAUAUGUGUGUGUGUGUGUGUGUUUGAAAAUUUCUUACUUUUACUCGAAACGAAUAUUUUAAAAAAAAAAUUGUAUAAAAAGUCUUUAAGCGUGUAAAUAAUGCAAUUAUAUUCCACGAUUAUAUUUGAUUAAAUAAAUUGCAGGAAGGAAAUAUUU